AUUGAACGCUGGCGGCAUGCUUUACACAUGCAAGUCGAACGGUAACAGGCCGCAAGGUGCUGACGAGUGGCGAACGGGUGAGUAAUGCAUCGGAACGUGCCCAGUCGUGGGGGAUAACUACUCGAAAGAGUAGCUAAUACCGCAUACGAUCUAUGGAUGAAAGCGGGGGACCGUAAGGCCUCGCGCGAUUGGAGCGGCCGAUGUCAGAUUAGGUAGUUGGUGGGGUAAAGGCUCACCAAGCCAACGAUCUGUAGCUGGUCUGAGAGGACGACCAGCCACACUGGGGCUGAGACACGGCCCAGACUCCUACGGGAGGCAGCAGUGGGGAAUUUUGGACAAAGGGCGCAAGCCUGAUCCAGCAAUGCCGCGUGCAGGAAGAAGGCCUUCGGGUUGUAAACUGCUUUUGUACGGAACGAAACGGCUCUGGUUAAUACCCGGGGCUAAUGACGGUACCGUAAGAAUAAGCACCGGCUAACUACGUG
rnacentral:rRNA from 1 species